CCUACGGGAGGCUGCAGUGAGGAAUAUUGGUCAAUGGGCGCGAGCCUGAACCAGCCAAGUCGCGUGAGGGAAGACGGUCCUAUGGAUUGUAAACUUCUUUUGUCGGGGAGCAAAAGACGCCACGCGUGGCGUUCCGAGAGUACCCGAAGAAAAAGCAUCGGCUAACUCCGUGCCAGCCGCCGCGGUAAUACGGAGGAUGCGAGCGUUAUCCGGAUUUAUUGGGUUUAAAGGGUGCGCAGGGGGAAGAUCAAGUCAGCGUUAAAAUUGAGGGGCUAAACCUCGUCGAGCCGUUGAAACUGGUUUUCUUGAGUGAGCGAGAGGUAGGCGGAAUGUGUGGUGUAGCGGUGAAAUGCAUAGAUAUCACGCAGAACUCCGAUUGCGAAGGCAGCAUACCGGCGCUCAACUGACGCUCAUGCACGAAAGUGUGGGUAUCGAACAGGAUUAGAUACCCUAGUAGUC
rnacentral:rRNA from 1 species